rnacentral:tRNA from 1 species
AAACUAUUUUUAACCUUGUUUUGAAAACAAGGUUUAAGAGUUAAUCUUGUAGUU